UCUCCAGAAUCUUCACAACGUCCUGGGAUUGAUUUGUACUUUUCGCACCAAAGUACGUUCAUCUCUAUUAGACAAAACGCGUUUCCUACCUGAGCGGUAUGAUGGCUGCGUGGUCCCAUGGGGUUUAUACUUGCGUACUAUUGUUUGUACAGAUUAACGUGGUACCUUCAGGCAUUUGGAAAUUGCUCCCAAGGAUGAACCAGACUUUUUCAAGCGGUUUAAAAAGGCACAGUCAACAUAGUGUAUGUAAACUUCUGACCCACUGGAAUUGUGUUACAGUGAAUUAUAAGUGAAAUAAUCUGUCUGUAAACAAUUGUUGGAAAAAUUACUUGUGUCAUUCACAAAGGAGAUGUCCUAACCGACUUGCCAAAAACAUAGUUUGUUAACAAGAAAUCUGUGGAGUGAUGAAAAACAAGUUAAUGACUCCAACCUAAGUGUAUGUAAACUUCCGACUGUAUGGGGAGUUGCGACAAGCUGUUUUAUAUGGAAGCCCAUACACGCCACCCCAAAAAAUGUACACAUUGAAUUGCUUCGUGAUUUGUCAACUGUGCUUCAGUCUGAUUAACUGCAGCCUAUAACAGCCACAGCUACAGGUAGCUUAGAUCCUUUCUGAUCCCAUCUGGGCCUGAUCAGGGGAAAUUAAGUGGUAACGUCAAGUAUUUAUAGCCUAAGAUAUGUAUUUAUAGCCUAAGAUAUGUAUUUAUAGCCUAAGAUAUGUAUUUAUAGCCUAAGAUAUGUAUUUAUAGCCUAAGAUAUGUAUUUAUAGCCUAAGAUAUGUAUUUAUAGCCUAAUAUAGGCCCCUUUAUUUGUGUUCUGAGAAAAUAUGAAUGUAAUCAAAUUUGGUUUAUAUUCAAUUUUGGGGGGCUACCUAGGUCUAUUACAUCCAAAAUUAUUGACUGGAAUUAUUCAAACACCACAAGUGAUGACAUACUGUCUGAAUAACUUUUUAAUUACAAAUGCAAUGGCCAACAUGAUACAACUCUGCAUAAAGCAAGCUCAGCCCUGUUAUUAGUUAUAUUGUCCAAUCGUAGUUGCUGUCUCUUUUUCUGUGUAAAGGACCCUCCCCCCGUUCCACUGUUCUGCCCAGCAAACAAAAAUUCGGAGCCGGUUCAAACCCCCAAAAAAGUAACGGUUUAAAUCGUUCCUUUUUAAACUUCUGAAAUUCAUUUUUUGGUACAUUUAGCUUGACAUUAAUUUACUUGACCAAUGGAUAGAGCAGCUUUCUAUGGAACGGGCAAGCCAUGUACAUGCAUUGGACAGACAAGGCUAAGGGGAUACCUAGUCAACUGGACAACUGAACUCAUUCAACCGGUUACUGGCCCAAAGCUCCUAAACGCUAGGCUACCUGCCGCCCCUAUAGUGUAGUGUUGGGUGCGACUGAAAUAUUGCGGGUGUGGAAAGAGCUGGGCAUGAAGCACUGGGCAUCUUGUUAUGACAUACAUUAUCUGAAUUAGGACCACAGAAUUAUAUCUACACAGGAGCGGCUUCUAUGAAGGAACUUUGAAUGUUUUUGUACUUCAAAGAGUUGGCUUGACUAACUUUGGACCAGAGCUAGCCCUUGACCAUGACUCUCAGUUCCAUUUCAGUUUGAGAGCCAGACCAGAGCUAGCCCUUGACCAUGACUCUCAGUUCCAUUUCAGUUUGAGAGCCAGACCAGAGCUAGCCCUUGACCAUGACUCUCAGUUCCAUUUCAGUUUGAGCCAGACCAGAGCUAGCCCUUGACCAUGACUCUCAGUUCCAUUUCAGUUUGAGCCAGACCAGAGCUAGCCCUUGACCAUGACUCAGUUCCAUGUCAGGUUGAGAGCCAGACCAGAGCUAGCCCUUGACCAUGACUCUCAGUUCCAUUUCAGGUUGAGAGCCAGACCAGAGCUAGCCCUUGACCAUGACUCAGUUCCAUGUCAGGUUGAGAGCCAGACCAGAGCUAGCCCUUGACCAUGACUCUGUUCCAUUUCAGUUUGAGCCAGACCAGAGCUAGCCCUUGACCAUGACUCUCAGUUCCAUUUCAGGUUGAGAGCCAGACCAGAGCUAGCCCUUGACCAUGACUCAGUUCCAUGUCAGGUUGAGAGCCAGACCAGAGAUAGCUAGCUUGCCAACAAGAUUGUGUGUGUAGAGCGGCACCAGAAUUAAAAUAAAAACAAAUCUUACUUUCCGUAGUUAAUAAAUUCAAUGUGAAUCCUGAUAACUAUAGUAUCCUUAACUAGACUUGAAAAAGUUAAUAUAUUGUUCUCUAAUUAAAAAUGUCUCUCCCUAAUUUCUGAAUCACGCCUGAAACGUCAGUAGCUACAGUAGACUAUGCAUGCUUCGGAAAGAGGGGCAGGUAUUUCUACACAGAUUUUCAGCUGGCAGGCAGACACUGGAAUAAGUUUGUGACAGUUUUACAUAAGCACUUUGUUGCAUUUAUUAUGGGACCGGGGGAAAAAAAUGCCCAGAAUGUAAAAGAACAUUUUUAAGCGGUUAAAAUAACAUUUCUGAAAAUAAAAAAUAAACAGUUAUGUUAUAUAUAUAUAUAUAUAUAUAUUUGGAAAAUAUCUACAUUUCAGUUGUUUGAAAAUCAUUACUCUGCUAUUACAAUUUAUAUAUUGCAGGAGUGUUGGGCUGGACGAGACAAUUCUGAUCACACUGCCCUGCUCGGAGGGGGGCAAUUGUCGGGCGAUCGCCGUGCGCUACCUCUGGAGACGGCGCUGGAGACAUGGAUUUGCGAACUUG